AAAGAUAUGAUUUUCUUUGUUCACAACAAAGUUAUCAAAGACUGGUCUAUGUACUGGUUUAACUGUACCCUAUUCGUUUUUUGGGGAAAAAAACCUUGCAACUAAGCUAAAACACAUGAAGAACAUGUACUAUUAUGAGAUAGAACUUGAUCUGAAGCUGCAGAGUUGCAAUGGAGGCCAUCUCUGUAUUAUGCAACUUAAUUCAGCCAUCCAUGUUCACACACGUUUACACUAAGAGCAGGCAUUUUCCUCAAGCCUAAGAAUUUUAGACUACAAAGGGUAAGAAUAUCCUCGUAGAUACUUUGAAUCCACACCUGAUUCACGUACCAGCGCCAGACGUCCUGUUCGUG
rnacentral:misc_RNA from 1 species